rnacentral:sRNA from 1 species
ACAAGAACAACAAAAAUCAGUCACCCGCAAAACCAACAUAAUAAAAACAAGACGAAUCGACUCACGCAUAACAAAAACAACACGGCGGAGGCGCAGCUAACUGAUUCUUUUGGAGAGGCGUUGCAUUUGGGACUUGUCCCGCAACCAGGCCGAGAACAACAAAAACUACCCUUAGGUAGAGCCUGAACUGGUUGGAUCGAGAGAUCACUGCCGCACAGCGACCAAAGCAAUCCGUUUGCUCUUGACUCCCGAUUGGGAGAGUUCACUGGCGAAAGCCGUGAAUGGGCGGUCAACAAAAAUAAAAAGCCCAUCAGACAAUAAAAAUAAGAGCACGCACUUUGGGGGAGCUUCGGCUCCCCCAGUAGCAUCCGCGUUUUAAUCCCCGCCCGC